rnacentral:rRNA from 1 species
GACGGAAGGUGCAAGCGUUGCUCGGAAUCACUGGGCGUAAAGGGCGCGUAGGCGGCACAGCAAGUCGGGAGUGAAAGCCCGGGGCUCAACCUCGGAAUUGCCUUCGAUACUGGGUAUCUUGAGUUCGGGAGAGGUGAGUGGAAUGCCGAGUGUAGAGGUGAAAUUCGUAGAUAUUCGGCGGAACACCAGUGGCGAAGGCGACUCACUGGCCCGAUACUGACGCUGAUGCGCGAAAGCGUGGGGAGCAAACAGG